rnacentral:lncRNA from 1 species
CUGGAAGGCUGGGGCGGAUGGAAUGAGCUGAAUAAAACAGCUGCUCUGCAAUCCAGAUGGAGGUGCAAGGUUUUCACUUUUAACAGCAGAAAAUCUGUGCACAUCAAGCUUUCUCUUAGAACCUGGAAAAUAUGACCCCACUGACCCCAUUGAGCCAUGCAAGAUUGCUUAGCAGAGAGGAAAUAAUCACACAUAUCAAGACAAAGAGAUUGGGAUUACAUCUAGAAUGAAAUUCUUCCCAGAAGAAGGAAUUCCUGCAGCAUAUCUCCAGGGUCUCAGUGCCAAUAUGUUCCCAGAGGCUUCCUCAGCAAAAUACGUCAAAGGCAGCAGGACCAAGAAACUGCAGUGUGGGCUCAGUGCUCUCCAGCCACAGUUCACUGCCUCAGAACUGCCCCUACACCUCUGUGUCCCUGAAAGGUCAAAACAGAAGGGUUGGGGACCAGGGUUAAGCUAAAGAAAACAACAAGAAAAAUACUGAAGAAAACAGCAUUUUUAAAAGGCACAUUCAAGUAAGCAACAUUCUACAUAAUAACCCAGUUUUAAGCACCUAUCUGAAGAUCUUAAUUAGCCCAUUCUGCUGUUAAUUUCACAUAUCC